UCCCUUAUGUCUCCCAAUCCAGUCCUCUGUAGUGCCGUCAUCAUAUCCUCCUACUUCCGCAUUCAUGCGUUCCAUCGCGAGUACUUCCGGGUUCGCUUGCGUUCCAUCUCUGAUGCCGAUGCGUUCCAACGCUCUUUUCAUGCGGUUCACUACAGAAAGUCACUCAAAUACUUCUUCACCUUCACCAAUACUUCAAAUAAUUGUCCAAAUGAGUCCCUAUAAUAUAUAAAACUCCAGAACACAAUCCCCACAUAAAAAUAGGGAGUGGGAGGGGUGAAAAAAAAAA